rnacentral:rRNA from 1 species
GACAGAGGGUGCAAACGUUGUUCGGAAUUACUGGGCGUAAAGGGCUCGUAGGCGGCCAACUAAGUCAGACGUGAAAUCCCCAGGCUCAACCUGGGAACUGCGUCUGAUACUGGAUGGCUUGAAUCCGGGAGAGGGAUGCAGAAUUCCAGGUGUAGCGGUGAAAUGCGUAGAUAUCUGGAGGAAUACCGGUGGCGAAGGCGGCAUCCUGGACCGGCAUUGACGCUGAGGAGCGAAAGCUAGGGGAGCAAACGGG